UACGUAGGGGGCGAGCGUUGUUCGGAGUUACUGGGCGUAAAGGGCAUGCAGGCGGUCGGACGCGUUUUGUGUGACAGCGGGUGGCUCAACUACGCGAGCAUACGAAAGACGGUUUGACUUGAGGGCUCGAGAGGGACACGGAAUUCCGGGUGGAGUGGUGAAAUGCGUAGAGAUCCGGAGGAACACCGAAGGCGAAGGCAGUGUCCUGGCGAGUGACUGACGCUGAGGUGCGAAAGCCAGGGGAGCGAACGGG
rnacentral:rRNA from 1 species